GGUGGCUCAUUGGUAGAGCACUUGCCUUGCAUGCAUAAGGCCCUGGGUUCGGUUCCCCAGCACCA
rnacentral:tRNA from 1 species